rnacentral:rRNA from 1 species
GAUGAACGCUAGCUACAGGCUUAACACAUGCAAGUCGAGGGGCAGCAUGAAGUUUGCUUGCAAACUUUGAUGGCGACCGGCGCACGGGUGAGUAACGCGUAUCCAACCUGCCCCGUACUCGGGUAUAGCCCAGCGAAAGCUGGAUUAAUCCCCGAUGUCACCUUUAUGGUGCAUGCCAUAUUGGUUAAAGUUAUUCGGUACGGGAUGGGGAUGCGUCUGAUUAGGUAGUAGGCGGGGUAACGGCCCACCUAGCCGACGAUCAGUAGGGGUUCUGAGAGGAAGGUCCCCCACACUGGAACUGAGACACGGUCCAG